rnacentral:tRNA from 1 species
GCGGGUUAGAGCGCUUCCUUGCCAUGGAAGAGGCCAGGAGUUAGAGUCUCCUAACCCGCA